CAGCGCCGCGGUAAUACGUAGGUGGCAAGCGUUGUCCGGAAUUAUUGGGCGUAAAGGGCUCGCAGGCGGUUUCUUAAGUCUGAUGUGAAAGCCCCCGGCUCAACCGGGGAGGGUCAUUGGAAACUGGGAAACUUGAGUGCAGAAGAGGAGAGUGGAAUUCCACGUGUAGCGGUGAAAUGCGUAGAGAUGUGGAGGAACACCAGUGGCGAAGGCGACUCUCUGGUCUGUAACUGACGCUGAGGAGCGAAAGCGUGGGGAGCGAACAGGAUUAGAUACCCGUGUAGUCCCUGUCUCUUAUACA
rnacentral:rRNA from 1 species